rnacentral:rRNA from 1 species
UACGUAGGGGGCUAGCGUUGUCCGGAAUCAUUGGGCGUAAAGCGCGUGCAGGCGGCUUGGUAAGUCGGGUGUGAAAUCCCGGGGCUCAACCCCGGAACUGCACCCGAUACUGCCUCGCUCGAGUCCCGGAGAGGAUGGCGGAAUUUCCGGUGUAGAGGUGAAAUUCGUAGAUAUCGGAAGGAACACCAGCGGCGAAGGCGGCCAUCUGGACGGUGACUGACGCUCAGACGCGAAAGCGUGGGGAGCAAACAGG